GUACGGGAGGCAGCAGUGGGGAAUUUUGGACAAUGGGGGCAACCCUGAUCCAGCCAUGCCGCGUGAGUGAAGAAGGCCUUCGGGUUGUAAAGCUCUUUCGGUAGGAACGAAACGGUUACGACUAAUACUCGUGACUAAUGACGGUACUUACAGAAGAAGCACCGGCUAACUACGUGCCAGCAGCCGCGGUAAUACGUAGGGUGCGAGCGUUAAUCGGAAUUACUGGGCGUAAAGCGUGCGCAGGCGGUUAUUUAAGUCAGGUGUGAAAGCCCUGGGCUUAACCUAGGAAUUGCGCUUGAGACUGGAUAGCUUGGAGUGCGGCAGAGGGAGGUGGAAUUCCACGUGUAGCAGUGAAAUGCGUAGAGAUGUGGAGGAACACCGAUGGCGAAGGCAGCCUCCUGGGCCAGCACUGACGCUCAUGCACGAAAGCGUGGGGAGCAAACAGGAUUAGAUACCCCGGU
rnacentral:rRNA from 1 species